rnacentral:rRNA from 1 species
CCCUUAGAUGUUCUGGGCCGCACGCGCGCUACACUGACGAAUGCAACGAGCUUAUAACCUUGGCCGAAAGGUCUGGGUAAUCUCCAAAUUUCGUCGUGAUGGGGAUAGAUUAUUGCAAUUAUUAAUCUUCAACGAGGAAUGCCUAGUAAGCGCAAGUCAUCAGCUUGCGUUGAUUACGUCCCUGCCCUUUGUACACACCGCCCGUCGCUCCUACCGAUUGAAUGGUCCGGUGAAGCGUUCGGACCGUGGCCUUUGGACGGUACGCCGUCUGUUGGCUGCGGGAAGUUCGUUAAACCUUAUCAUUUAGAGGAAGGAGAAGUCGUAACA